GAAAAAAAGGCAAGGGUGCAAAGAGUAAGGGUGCAGAAGGCUUUAGCAAUAACAAUGGUACUGAAGACCAUGACUCAGCUGGGGAAUGUUUCAGGGUUGUCAGGGGAUGGCUGAUUAUUCUUGUUCUUGUCCUUCAUUUAGGCAGGCAUCUGUAGUACCUGAUAUGGUCCAGGGACACUUCAACACCCAGCUCCUUACACAAAGGCCAGGGCCCAGCAGGAAUCCCUGAGAUCACAGAGCAGACCUGAGAGAGGAGGGGGAUGCACCAACACAGUGUCCUGUUUAUCAUUUCCCUGACUGCUUGUACCAAGCAGGAGGACACUCCUUUGGAAGAUAUGGUGUCACCAGCUCUUAGUGCUACAGUCAUUAUCGUUGUCACCACUGUCCUAUGGGUGAGCACUUACUUGUGCUUCCUGAGGCGCGUCUGCUCUGGAUGCUGCAAAGCCACCCAGGCAGCACCAGACAGAAGACUUGACCCCAGCAGGUUUGAAGAACAAGUCUAAUCUCAUCAGAGAAUCUACUGAGCUGUGACAAGAAGUUUCUGCAAGAAGAAGUCCCAGAACAUGGAGGAGACACGGGCCUAAUGAGAAAAUGAAGUUCAAAAGAAAAUGUCCGUGGAAUGUCUCUUUUUGGAUCACCUUGGCCUAAGCUGGACUGGGAAGAGCUGAAAAGCUUUUUUUCUGGAACAGCUGAUUGUGGGGUUUUUUCUGCAGUUUGCAAAUCAAAAGAAGUACGGGUAAAUGAAGGCAGACAUCCCAGUGGUGGCCUGUUUGAGACCUGCCUGCAUCAAGUCUUUGAGAAGAAAAAGGCCUCAGCAAAGGAGCUCCAUCAACAAAGAAAUCCCGGGAAGGCAUCCACCAGAGGGAGUUCCAUGAAUGCAUCAAACCCAGCCGGAGCUAUAAAUGAUUAUACAGCAGCUGAGAAGAGCUGCCUGUGCACUCCCCGGGACAGACAAGCUGCUCCCCGCAGCUGCUGGGCAGGAGCCUGGGCUGAAUUCAGCAAAGUACUGACCCAAAUCUGCAUAAUCUUAAGUGAAUACUCAGUGAACUCUAAGGAAUUGCUCUGUGCCUGGCAUUAAGCGAGUGUUUUAUUAGAGCGGGGUCAAAAUACUCAGUGCUUUGCAGGAUCAUAUGAGGAAAAGAAAAGACUCUGUUUACACCUCGGCUUUUAUUUUUCCCUCACUGGUUCACUUGUUAGGAAGAAAGCUAAGCCAGGGCCAGCCUGGUUUCUGGGAGGCCCAGGGAGGAAGCUUUGGAAGCAAACCCAACUGCUUCCACUCAGGAAGAGUUUUUGAUGAGGCUGCCUCUGACACGCAGCAACAGCAGCUGCUCUGGAUGGAUCCUGGCCCCUCUGCCAAGGAGAAAAACAACUACAUGAUGACACCUCUCUAUCUGGAAUACAGGAUAAUUCUCUGGUUCAAUAUGAAGUCUUCUUCUGAGACCUUUUUGUCUAAUUUAUGCUAAAACUAUUUUCAGCAGUGGGUAAUAGCGUGUACUCUUCCUUUAUAAAAAAAAAAAGAAAUCAAAUUCUUGCCUCCCUCUGCCCCAGAAAGCAGGCAAAGGAUCACAGUGCUAACAAGCCUUUGUGGAAAUAUCCCAGAUUAAAAAUACCGUUUUAGACCUUUUGAUUUUUUUUCUUUUAAUUGCUUCUCCUGGGUGUCCUGGAGCCUUGAACAGUUCCUAAAAGAAAUUCAGGAAAAAGCACUUCACUCUGCUGGAGAUCUCAAUCCAAAUUCUGCUUUAUAUUGGAUAAAAGAGCACAAGGAGCUAAUCCCAGCUAUGUGCUUUGACACAAUUUCUGACUAAAGGCUCACAGAAGCUGUGAGAAGACAUUAAAUGAAGGUGAUUCCUGCCUUGAUGAGAUUAUUUUCCAGUAAGAGGUGGGGGGAAAGACAUUGCAAUAUUAGGAAAGGACAAGGCUGUUGUUUCUGUGACCACAAGGAGAUGCAGAGAGGGUUUUGCCUUAGGACAUUCCUGAGCUGGAAUUCCAGACCCAAAAGCAGGCGGCCCCUAGCCCAGGGCACAGUCCUUUGUCACCUCUACCCUCUCUGUAAACCAGGCAUCUUAAUACCCCCACUUUUCACAGGAAUGCUAAAUAAAAUGCCUUGAAGAUGAAGUGUCUGUCUUGCU
ensembl:lncRNA